CAUCCCACAUGGGCACCGGGUUCUAGUCCCGGUUGCUCCUUUUCCAGUCCAGCUCUCUGCUGUGGCCUGGGAGGGCAGUGGAGGAUGGCCCAAGUGCUUGGGCCCUGCACCUGCACGGAAGAUGAAGAAGCACCUGGCUCCUGGCUUCAGAUCAGCAUAGCUCUGGCCGUAGUGGCCAUUUGGGGGGGGGGUGUGUGAACCAACGGAAGGAAGACCUUUCUCUGUCUGUCUCUCUCUCACUGUCUAACUCUAUCUGUCAAAUGAAAAAACCCAACUCCUUAGGAUGCUUGUGUUUUUUCCUCACAGAGCUGGUGUCGCUGCCAUGUGCCUGCUUGAAGAAUGAUUCUCACACGAAGAUAUUCAGGGUUGUUCUUGAUGACUGAAGAUCUGCAUGCAUGCGCGCUGAACCAGGAGCAGUGUAUUAUGGCUACAUGGAGGGCAUUUGACCCAAAACUAAUAGUUGA
rnacentral:lncRNA from 1 species